GGGAUGCCCCGAGCGGGCGUAUUUUGGAAACAAUACCGCGCGCUGAGCCGUGGCCUCCUCCCGCGCCAGCUCGUGCCGGCAGCCGCCGCUGCCGCACCCUGCGCCACCCGCCUCCCGCCGCAGCCUGCUGGACUUUCCCCCCUCCUUCCCAAUCGAAUCUGGGCGCCAAGCCCCCGAUUGCUCGUCACGCUGGACCCUGGUGCAGAGCCCUGGCAUCACGACUCGGAAGCUGAGACUCACUCCUGGAGUCACCCAGGAGAAAUGGAGCCACCUCAGUGUGUGGAGGAGCUGGAAGAUGAUGUGUUUCAGCCAGAAGAUGGGGAGCCAGGGACACAGUCUGGGAGUUUGCUCUCUGCUGACCUGUUUGCCCAGAGCCAGCUGGAUUGCCCCCUCAGCCGGCUUCAGCUCUUCCCUCUUACCCACUGCUGUGGCCCUGGGCUCCGGCCCAUUAGCCAGGAAGACAAGGCCACUCAGACCCUCAGUCCAGCCUCCCCAAGCCAGGGUGUCAUGCUGCCUUGUGGGGUGACAGAGGAACCCCAACGACUCUUUUACGGCAAUGCUGGCUACCGACUUCCUCUCCCUACCAGUUUCCCUGCAGGCUUGCCCCUUGGGGAGCAGGCUCCUGAAGGGCAGUGGCAACAUCGAGCCGAGGUACAGAUCGCCAGAAAGCUUCAGUGCAUUGCAGACCAGUUCCACCGGCUCCAUAUGCAGCAAUACCAGCAGAACCGAGACCGAGCAUGGUGGCAGGUCUUCCUAUUCCUGCACAACCUGGCCUUGAACAGAGAAGGAAACAGGGAUGGGGCAGGUCCCAGGUGAGGCUGGGCUGCCCUUGUCAAAUGGGGCACCAGGAAUGCAGUCUGUAACAGAAUGGACAUCUGGAAGGAGAGACAUUGUCUUGUGACAUUUUGUUAUUAUUUUUAAAUUUUCUCUCUGUGUGUACAUACAACAUCCCCUAAUAGGACCUUCUUUCCCUGUUCAAGACCUCCACUGAAAAUGGGGGCCUUUGUCAAACACUGUUGAAGGAGAGGUGACUGUGUCUGCUGGUGGAGUUCCUAAGCCUCUGACAGGUAGAUUCUCUGUCAACAGUUGUGGAAGAUGACCAGUCAGUGACGUUCUCUAGGAAGUGGACUAAGGUUUUUCUACAGGAACUCUGCUAAGAAAUAAGAGACUGGAUUAGACUCCCAGUUCCACCAAACAUGUCAGCUUUCCCUCAUGCUUGGGGUCCUGAUGGAAACACUGCUUUAACCUACCAGGACCUUGGUCAGGGGUUUCUUGGCUAAGGAUGGCAGUGCCACAGCCAGUCAGCCAACUUCGCAUCUGGGUUCCCACUUGGCACAGCCAUGGGCUCAGGGAUUCUUGCCCGGACCCUAUCACCUCCAGAAGACCUCAGGGAGGGUUGAACUUCUCCAAGGACCCCUCAAAGGUGCCAUGAACUGAAUCAAGCUUGAUAGGCCUCAAGUCUGACUUGGUCCCAGGUGGAAGGCCCUGGAUUGAUCCUGAGGAGCACACUGCUGCCACCUCUGCUGCCUGGGUGUCAACCGCACAUGAGCCAAGUAGCCAGUCACUGUGUUGUACCCAGCAGCCUGUGCCUUUCUCAGCUCUGUUUUCAAAAGACCCCGCCAACUGGACCAGACUGUAAUCAACUCCAGCAUCCACACUGCAUGAUGGGGUGGGUGUGCAGGGGGUGGGGUGGGAAUAAGGCAGCCGUUCCACUGAUAAGUCAGCCCCAGGGGACCCCAGACUUCUUGGUUUCCUUGGAAACGUGUACCUCCUCUUCCUUCUCCUCCGGUCCUUUUUCCACACCUAGUGGGAUACAGGAAAGAAGUCUGGACAGUGGCUUUGUCAGCUGAAAAGUGACUUUUGAAGUAAUAGGCAGUGAUUAAAACUGUAACCAUCAGAACUGGUGCACAUUUCCUGUCUUCCUUCAGCUGCCUCUGAACUUCCAUCUCUUCCCUGCUGCGGCACUAAUGGAGGGAACGUAAAGCAGCUGAUCUCAGUCACUGGGAUCCUCUUAACCCAGACGCUUAGAAAUUAAAUUAUCAUUUUUUUGCAUUUGUAAGAAAAGACAUUGGUGCUAAAGAUGAAUCAAGACCCAAAGAAAGGAUGCCUUCCCUGGGCGAAGAAAACCCCAGAGUUACUCAAGGAAUUUAGAGGAGGAGCCCAGAGUCAAAUCUGAACAAGCCCAAGAUCUUCCAUUUCUGCUGAGAAGGGGUCUUCAGUACUGUAGAAGGACAGGAGGUCUUGGAACUGAUCCCUGUGUAAAAUGAGACUCCUUUGGACCACUAAACCCAACCACUCUGCCCUUAAUCCUCUGCUUCCCAGGAGAACUUUUUGCCCUCCUGACUGAGAAAGCUCUGCAAGGAAUUGGAACUAGAAUUAGAAAUGCCACUCAAGGAGGUGAGAAGGAGCAUGUCAACGAUGUCCUGUUGGUCACUGCCAUUUAAAAGGCUCCUGGCUCCAUGUCACCUUGCAUUUGAAUGAUGCUGACAAUGCCUGAGGAGGUGAGGUCCACUGAUGAACCAGUGACCACAGGACAAGGUGCCACCCUAAACCCAGGGCAAGGAUUCAAAACAAGUCACAUCAUUCCUAUCCUGAAAAUCAUGUCCCACAA